rnacentral:rRNA from 1 species
GAUGAACGCUGGCGGCGUGCUUAACACAUGCAAGUCGAACGGUGAAGCAGAGCUUGCUCUGUGGAUCAGUGGCGAACGGGUGAGUAACACGUGAGCAACCUGCCAUGGACUCUGGGAUAAGCGCUGGAAACGGCGUCUAAUACUGGAUAUGAGACGUGGCAGCAUGGUCAAAGUUUGGAGACAUGUCUUGGUUCAGGAUGGGCUCGCGGCCUAUCAGCUUGUUGGUGAGGUAAAGGCUCACCAAGGCGUCGACGGGUAGCCGGCCUGAGAGGGUGACCGGCCACACUGGACUGAGACACGGCCCAGACUCCUACGGGAGGCAGCAGUGGGGAAUAUUGCACAAUGGGCGAAAGCCUGAUGCAGCAACGCCGCGUGAGGGAUGACGGCCUUCGGGUUGUAAACCUCUUUUAGCAAGGAAGAAGCGAAAGUGACGGUACUUGCAGAAAAAGCGCCGGCUAACUACGUGCCAGCAGCCGCAGAA